CCUGAACAGCUAUAAGUCUCAAAAUUCCUUCAUUGUCCCUGUUAGGUCCUUGACUGUCUCAAAUUUUAACAAAGUGGUCCGCCAUAAAAAAUCUGGUUCCUUCGGAUGGCAUGAUGAAGUUGGUAUUCCUAAAACUUAUAGAUAGCAAAUGUAUAUUUUUUGUAAAAGAUGUUCCUAGAAGUUAACAUAGGUGUAAGCGGUGUGCUCUUUUGCGUGCAUAUAUUUUCCAAUGGUGUUUUGAAAUUCAGGAGAAUUGGAGUUUACAAAUGGAUUAGCCAUGUUAAUGUUGGCUUUAUAGAAAAUAUUUAAUGGCUCAUGAAUAGUUUGUGUUUUGUAUUUGUGAGUGUGCCUUAUUUCAUGUUUGAGGUGUUUCAAGGGGUCAAGUAUAUCAAAUUAAUAUUUUUUGGACUUAAGAAAAUUGGAGAAAUGUGGAAUUAAUGUGAGGUAUUAAAACCACAGGGCAUCACAGGGAUUACCUAGUCACUAAACCAAGACUUACUACCUAACCCAAUUGCAGCUUCGACCUCUCAGGAAUGUAAUCUUUAGCUGGUCAGCACGAGAAUUUCCUGGUCACUCACUAGGAGACCUACUGAUAGACCCUUCCAUUCCCCUUAGGAGGGUGACCUUGCCUUAAACAAUGGAUUCUUUGCUAAUAAUUUCCUUUUUUCUGCUCCCUCCCUACAUUUAAAAACUCUUGCUUUCCUGCAGCUGGAUGGAGCUCCUUUCUAUUUGCUAAAUGGGGUGCUUCCUGAUUCAUGAGUUGUUUAAUAAAGUCUGUUAGAUAUUUAGAAUGCACUGAGUUAAAUGUUUGCUCCUUCGCAAGGGCAACUUGGCCGGUGAGUGGUUUUCUUGACUUGCUGCCCAGCGACCCCCAGCAAGGUCCUGCUAUGACCUGGACACACAUAAUAGUCUAUCCCUGACUCUCAGCUCUGGUUCUUUGGUAAAAGACUGUGGAAAUUUCCCCUUUUCCUGCAGGACAGAAGUAUCAAAAGAGGCAUUUGCCACCAUUUCCCAAGCAGAUGUGUGCUCCGCUGCCUCCUCAGCCAGCAGAGUCCUAAGCAUCCUUUGGGGCUGGUUCCCCUCCUGCAUCCGAGGCCACUGGGGCCAUGGUUGGGCCCUUUUGGGAUCCAAGGGUGCUGUAGGCAACUAGAACGGUAUCCUUGGACUUGCAGAAAACUUCAGGAGCUAGCUCUGGUUGAGGUAAAGGCGACACUCCACAUGCAAAUUGCCAAGAUCAAAAUACAUAUGCCAAUAACAUGU
rnacentral:lncRNA from 1 species